rnacentral:rRNA from 1 species
GAUGAACGCUGGCGGCGUGCUUAACACAUGCAAGUCGAACGAAGCACCUUAUUCUGAUUUCUUCGGAAUGAUAAAUUUGGUGACUGAGUGGCGGACGGGUGAGUAACGCGUGGGUAACCUGCCUCAUACAGGGGGAUAACAGUUAGAAAUGACUGCUAAUACCGCAUAAGACCACAGCACCGCAUGGUUCAGGGGUAAAAACUCCGGUGGUAUGAGAUGGACCCGCGUCUGAUUAGGUAGUGGGUGGGGUAACGGCCUACCAAGCCGACGAUCAGUAGCCGACCUGAGAGGGUGACCGGCCACAUUGGGACUGAGACACGGCCCAAACUCCUACGGGAGGCAGCAGUGGGGAAUAUUGCACAAUGGGGGAAACCCUGAUGCAGCGACGCCGCGUGAGCGAUGAAGUAUUUCGGUAUGUAAAGCUCUAUCAGCAGGGAAGAAAAUGACGGUACCUGACUAAGAAGCACCGGCUAAACACGUGCCAGCAGCCGCCGUAAAAC